AACUGAAGCCCCCAGAUCCAAGUGUUAUUUUUUCCUGCUCAGGUAGAAUUUAAUAACAGCGCUCUGCACUUGCCUUGAUCUCUGCUCAGUCUUUAAUCCUCUUUUGAGCAUUUCAGUGACUGAAGUCAUCUUCACCACCUGCUGUUCCACAAGACUGACUCGUGCCUGAACACCUGCAGUUUAACCCACCAAUCACUCAUCAGUUAAGCAAAAAACAUGGAAACAAUGAGGAUCCUGUUUACCUGUUUGCUGCUUGUGCUGCUCUUUGCCACUGGACUCUCAAAACCAGCCAAUCUUCAAACCAAACCAAUGGUGAAGCGGCAGAAUGAAACCCCUUAUGAAAAGUUUAGACGACAGCAUAUAGAUGCUAGGAUGAGUGUGAAAAAAUGUGAUGCAGAAAUAAAAAGUAAACAGAUCUACAAUGUUGACAACAGUUGUAAGGAUGCUAACACAUUCAUCCUUAGUGAUGACGAACAGGUCAAAGCCAUUUGUAAUGGUCAAGGAAGAUGUGAUCCCAGGAGUGGCAUGACAGAGAGAACAGCCAAGUUUCGUAUUGUUAUAUGUGAAGUAAAAAAUGAUGGAGCCAGGAAACCCAAAUGUCAGUAUAAGGGCAGGCUUCUCACUGACAGAAUAGUUGUAGUCAAAUGUGGAGGAUUACCUGUGCACUAUGAUCAUGACAUAAUGACCUUUCAACACAAUAACACAACUAUAGGAAAAAUCCCCAUGCGCUCUACUUCUGUACCCACAAAUAUACAUGUCUGAGAUAGCGUUUCCUGCAUGUCUUAUUUAUUUAUUUAUUUUUUGCUUUUUGCUUUAUUUACCAAUUGGAACUGUAAUUUUAUGUUAUGAUUAAAUGCCACUAUGCACCCUUCUCAUAUACUCCAUUAAAAACAACAACAAAUGUAAUUAAAAACAAA